CCCUUAGAUGUACUGGGCCGCACACGCGCUACACUGAAGGAGGCAGCGUGUACUCCUGGAUCGAAAGAUUUGGGUAACCCGCGAAUCUCCUUCGUGCUAGGGAUUGAGGUUUGCAAUUAUCCUUCAUGAACGAGGAAUUCCCAGUAAGUGCAAGUCAUAAGCUUGCGCUGACUACGUCCCUGCCCUUUGUACACACCGCCCGUCGCUACUACCGAUUGAAUGAUUUAGUGAGGACUUCGGACUGGGACCGAUGCGGCUUUCGGGCUGCGUCGGUAUUCUGGAAAGAUGUCCAAACUGUAUCAUUUAGAGGAAGUAAAAGUCGUAACA
rnacentral:rRNA from 1 species